GCCUCGCUGGCGCAAUUGGCAGACGCGCUCGCCUUAGGAGCGAGAUGUUCGGGGUUCGAGUCCCUGGCGAGGCACCA
rnacentral:tRNA from 1 species